ACCAGAUUUUCUCCAAAAUGUUGAGAAAUGGAGUUCUCCCAGAUUUUCUAAGUCCUACCUGAGCUCCACAGCAACAGUAGCAGCAUCAACAGGUGAUCCAUGACGUCCAGGACGGGAUGACGACCCUCAUGUCCUAAAGAGAAGCAGCUGACAAAGCUCUGGAUCGCCUGUAUGGAGAGGACCACACAUCAUCACCAUUGCAGCUAAAACAUGUUCUAUGUACAGUAUGACAGCAUUUACUCAUGUUUAUGUUUCAUGGUAUUUAUUAUAUUUGAUUGGAAAUUAAGUCAUUUUGAGGAAAAAUCAAAUCAUUCUCAUUUCUUCAUUAGUUCUUAUGAUCUUGAGUUCUAAAGAAACAGUGUUCAGAUGUAGUUUACACAGAUUUCAUUAUAUGUAAUAACAACUUCCUCUUCUUCUGUUCUACAGUCACAUGUGUACAUCUUGUGAUGUUCUGCAGGGUUUAUGGACUCGAGGAUGUUGCAUGUAGGAGGAACUGGAACCUGGUUCAUUCAUCUCUGAACCUAAUGAGGAACAAAAUACUCUGAUUUACAUGAAAUAUUGUGCGUUAAUAAAGUAAAUAAUGACUCAGGAGGCAACAUCACUGCAGAGGACAAAUAUAAAUCCAGGAUGCAACAAUUCUACUUCAAAUAAGAUGGUGUGAUCGCAUUGUUGAUGAUAAACAUAAUGAUUGUAAAAUGCAGCUCCAUUUUAGCAGAAAGGUUACAGUUAGGAUGACAUUUUAUAUUACUAUGUUGUUACUGUUUACAACACAAAGCUCUACUCUCUAAAUCUGUGUACUCUACAUAACAUGACCAAAGACACUAAUAACACACUUUAGGUUGAACAGGGAACAUGUGUUAGUAGAUAACUUUGGUAGUAUUUCUCUACUGAGGCAGCGUGAGUGUAACUCUGAGCUGCUGUUACUCAGAUGAAGAGAAGGACUUCACCACAGCUUCUGAACUGCGGUUGUGUAAAACUGAAUAUAUCUGAUUUCACAAGAAGCUGCUGACUGAUUGCAGAUUAUAGGACUGUUUCCAUGACAGGCUGAGCUGUUCCUAUCAGAUGAAUGCUGUCAGUGUCGUCUUCUUAUUUCUGAUAGAUGUGUUAACAUCAGCAGGUACAGCUACUGACUACUACUACUAAUACUGCAGUCUGUGUCUCACUCACUUCACUGCAUCAUGUUUCUGUGUUGUUUCACUUUAAUGAGUCCUUCAUGAAGCUGCAGGAUGUUUUCAGCUCUGAACCCACUGGUCCAUCUGACUGUCGAACCAACAGAUCAAUAUCUCUGUGAGCACAUCCAGCACCUUCCUGUGUGCUGCUCUGGUGAUCAGACAUCACGUGUGCAUCAGUUUGUUUCACUGAAUAGUUUCUAGUGAUUUAUUAGUUCUGAUGAUUUAGUGAACUCCUGAUUCAAACUGACUCUGUUGUUGCUCUUUAUCAAGUUUUUCCAGAGAGAGCAGAGAUGGAAGAAGUACUCACAUCUUUUACUUCAGUAAAAGUACGAAUACUACUAAUACUGUGAGUACUACCAGCAGUGUUUGCAGAGGUUCUGUCUCUCAAACAGCCUGAUGACGACUCUCUCCAGAAUAGAGGGAGUCAACAUUGUCUCUUAAAGCAACAGUAGAACUCAGGCCUAAGUUAUUCAUAGAGUGGGGGGGGCUUUAUGCUUAUAAUUGGUGAUCUGUCUGAGACCUCUCCACACUGAAGCAUAUUCACUUGCUGAGAGCUCUUUUUGAAGUUUCUCAGGAUAUCAUGGUUCAGCAUCUCUCACCUCCUGGCUGUAUUCUGACUCUUUAAACCAGUCCUGGUCUCCACUCCUCAAUGCCUCUUCCUUUUGAAACCUUAGCUGUCUGAGUUUAGCUGUGAACCAGUUUGUUGUUGGUAUAACUCACCCUGGUGCAUGAUGGGACACUGUUGUCUUCACAGAAGCUGAUGUAUGAUGUGACAGGCUGCUACUUUACACAGUUCUUUGUAAUGUUGCUCAAAGGUCAGUUUCACCCCAAAAAGAGAAGAAAAUCGUGGUGAACAAGAGAUGAGUCAAAGACGUGGAGAAGCUGAUUCACCUCCACCAGACAUCAUCUCUGGAGGACUUCCACAUCUUCAUCCCGUGCUCUGAACACAGGAACGUGGUUUUCACUUUCAUGGAAUGUUGUGAAAGUAAUAAAUAUACUUUAUAAUAGAUUCUGUAACCUCUUAUAACAAAGUGACUGAAUUAUAGAAGUGUUACAACAAUUCUAUUCUUGUAGGUUGUGCCUUGCAGUCAGGCAUUAUAAUGAAAACUAGAAAAUUUCGCAAGAGAUUUUGACAGUGUGGCUGCUACUGCCUGAAGACGUCGCA